rnacentral:rRNA from 1 species
GACGAACGCUGGCGGCGUGCUUAACACAUGCAAGUCGAACGGAAAGGCCCUGCUUGCCGGGUGCUCGAGUGGCGAACGGGUGAGUAACACGUGGGUGAUCUGCCCCUUACUUUGGGAUAAGCCUGGGAAACUGGGUCUAAUACUGGAUAGGACCAUGCUGUAGGUGGUGUGGUGGAAAGAUUAGUUUCGGUAAGGGAUGAGCUCGCGGCCUAUCAGCUUGUUGGUGGGGUAAUGGCCUACCAAGGCGUCGACGGGUAGCCGGCCUGAGAGGGUGGACGGCCACAUUGGGACUGGGAUACGGCCCAGAAGCCUACGGGAGGCAGCAGUGGGGAAUAUUGCACAAUGGGCGCAAGCCUGAUGCAGCGACGCCGCGUGGGGGAUGACGGCCUUCGGGUUGUAAACUCCUUUCAGCCAUGACGAAGCCCUUGUGGUGACGGUAGUGGUAGAAGAAGCACCGGCUAACUACGUG